UGAAGUAACCAGAUUUGUGUUUUAGGAAGAUGGCUCCGGCUGCCAGGUGGAGAGUGGAGGAAUGGGGACAGGAAGACGGUUAGGAGGCUGUGGCCUGGACUAGCGUGGCGGGAGCUUUCCUUAGCCUCCUCCGGGCUUUUGCAGCCUCCUGUGCAUACUCUAGGCAGAUGCUCUUGGAAGAGGCUAGUCAAGAUGGAAAGGGCUCUGAGAAAAUGAAACACUCACUCCAGCGGGCCCCCGUGUAUCAGCCCUGAUCAGCGGUGUUGGGGCAGGACAUGGCGGUGGACGGCGACGAGGACCCAUGAAGGCCUUGGGAGGGAAGGACUCAAAUCGUGGGGCAUUUCUGGAUUCCAGCACAGGGCAGGGGAGAGGAUGGCAGAAACUCCCUGUGUCUGCCUUCACUUCAGGAGGUAAGAUCGUUGGGCAAAGGGGAGGGCAAAUAGAGCCAUCAGCAGUGGUCAGGGUCUUGUCUCAAGUUGGUCUCAACAGUAGGAAUUUUUAACCAGAAUCAAAGCUUAUUACAAAAGGAAAUUUGAUAUCAUUGCCAUAAAUAAAAAACCAGAGUCACCUGCCGUUAUUAGAAGC
rnacentral:lncRNA from 1 species